rnacentral:rRNA from 1 species
AACGCUGGCGGCGCGCUUAACACAUGCAAGUCGAGCGAGAACCAAGCCUUCGGGCUUGGGGACAGCGGCGAACGGGUGAGUAACACGUGGGUAAUCAACCCUCGACACUGGGAUAGCCCGGGGAAACCCGGAUUAAUACCGGAUACCCCAUCUGGCCUUCGGGCCGGCUGGAAAAGGUAGCUUUGGCCUCCGGUCGAGGACGAGCCCGCGGCGGAUUAGCUUGGUGGUGGGGUAAAAGCCCACCAAGGCGACGAUCCGUAGCUGGUCUGAGAGGACGAUCAGCCACACUGGGACUGAGACACGGCCCAGACUCCUACGGGAGGCAGCAGUGGGGAAUCUUGCGCAAUGGGCGAAAGCCUGACGCAGCGACGCCGCGUGAGGGAAGAAGGCCUUCGGGUUGUAAACCACUGUCGAGGGGGAUGAAGGCAUUCAGGUUCUCCUGAAUGUUUGACAGAGCCCUGGAGGAAGCACGGGCUAAGUUCGUGCCAGCAGCCGCGGUAACAC